rnacentral:tRNA from 1 species
GCGGGUGUAGUUCAAUGGUAGAACAUCAGCUUCCCAAGCUGAUAGUGCGGGUUCGAUUCCCGUCACCCGCUCCA